AACGAACGCUGGCGGCAUGCCUAACACAUGCAAGUCGAACGAAGCCCUCGGGCUUAGUGGCGCACGGGUGCGUAACGCGUGGGAAUCUGCCCUUGGGUUCGGAAUAACAGUUAGAAAUGACUGCUAAUACCGGAUGAUGUCUUCGGACCAAAGAUUUAUUGCCCAAGGAUGAGCCCGCGUAGGAUUAGCUAGUUGGUGGGGUAAAAGCCUACCAAGGCGACGAUCCUUAGCUGGUCUGAGAGGAUGAUCAGCCACACUGGGACUGAGACACGGCCCAGACUCCUACGGGAGGCAGCAGUGGGGAAUAUUGGACAAUGGGCGAAAGCCUGAUCCAGCAAUGCCGCGUGAGUGAUGAAGGCCUUAGGGUUGUAAAGCUCUUUUACCCGGGAUGAUAAUGACAGUACCGGGAGAAUAAGCUCCGGCUAACUCCGUGCCAGCCGCCGCAGUAAAAC
rnacentral:rRNA from 1 species